rnacentral:rRNA from 1 species
AGUGAACGCUGGCGGUAGGCCUAACACAUGCAAGUCGAACGGCAGCACAGUAAGAGCUUGCUCUUACGGGUGGCGAGUGGCGGACGGGUGAGGAAUACAUCGGAAUCUACUUUUUCGUGGGGGAUAACGUAGGGAAACUUACGCUAAUACCGCAUACGACCUACGGGUGAAAGCAGGGGAUCUUCGGACCUUGCGCGAUUGAAUGAGCCGAUGUCGGAUUAGCUAGUUGGCGGGGUAAAGGCCCACCAAGGCGACGAUCCGUAGCUGGUCUGAGAGGAUGAUCACACACACUGGAACUGAGACACGGCCCAGACUCCUACGGGGGGCAGCAGUGGGGAAUAUUAGACAAUGGGCGCAAGCCUGAUCCAGCCAUACCGCGUGGGUGAAGAAGGCCUUCGGGUUGUAAAGCCCUUUUGUUGGGAAAGAAAAGCAGCAGGUUAAUACCCCGCUGUUCUGACGGUACCCAAAGAAUAAGCACCGGCUAACUUCGUG